UACGUAGGGACCAAGCGUUGUUCGGAUUUACUGGGCGUAAAGGGCGCGUAGGCGGCGUGACAAGUCACUUGUGAAAUCUCUGGGCUUAACCCAGAACGGCCAAGUGAAACUGUUGUGCUAGAGUGCAGAAGGGGCAAUCGGAAUUCCCGGUGUAGCGGUGAAAUGCGUAGAUAUCAGGAGGAACACCGGUGGCGAAGGCGGAUCUCUGGGCCGAUACUGACGCUGAGGAGCGAAAGCGUGGGGAGCGAACAGG
rnacentral:rRNA from 1 species